rnacentral:rRNA from 1 species
AAAAGCGUAACAAGGUUUCCGUAGGUGAACCUGCGGAAGGAUCAUUAUUGAAAUAAACUUGGUGUGGGUUGCAGCUGGCCUUUGGGCAUGUGCUCACCUUCAUCAUCUUUAUAUUUCCACCUGUGCACCUUUUGUAGACAGGAAAGACAAGGGAAUUUAUUGUGGUGCCAUUUUAGGCCCCCAUUUAUUUCUUGUGUAUUCCUUGUCUAUGUUUUUAUAUACCCCAAAAAUGUAACAGAAUGUUAAUCUAUGGGCCUUUGUGCUUAUAAACAAAAAUUAUACAACUUUCAGCAACGGAUCUCUUGGCUCUCGCAUCGAUGAAGAACGCAGCGAAAUGCGAUAAGUAAUGUGAAUUGCAGAAUUCAGUGAAUCAUCGAAUCUUUGAACGCACCUUGCGCUCCUUGGUAUUCCGAGGAGCAUGCCUGUUUGAGUGUCAUUAAAUUAUCAAAAAAAGAUCUUCAAUGCUCUUGUUUUGGAUGUGAGGGUUUUUGUUGGCGAAAGUCGACUCCCUUGAAAUGUAUUAGCUUGGUUGAUUAGACUUUGUCUAUUGGUGUGAUAAUUAUCUACGCCAUUGGAUUGUCUGCUUGUCAAACUGCUUCUAAUUGUCCCUUUAGGGACUCUAUUAAAUGACCAUUUGACCUCAAAUCAGGUAGGACUACCCGCUGAACUUAAGCAUAU